AAGAAUGCAAGUCGAACGGGACUUUUUCUGGUAGCAAUACCGGGAAAAGUCUAGUGGCGAACGGGUGCGUAACACGUGGACAAUCUGCCUUAAAGUGGGGGAUAGCUCGGCGAAAGCCGAAUUAAUACCGCAUGUGAUGAGGGAAGACAUCUUUCCGACUUCAAAGCCGGGGCAACCUGGCGCUUUUUGAGGAGUCCGCGGCCUAUCAGCUUGUUGGUGAGGUAACGGCUCACCAAGGCUAUGACGGGUAGCUGGUCUGAGAGGACGACCAGUCACACUGGAACUGAGACACGGUCCAGACACCUACGGGUGGCAGCAGUCGAGAAUUUUUCUCAAUGGGGGAAACCCUGAAGGAGCGACGCCGCGUGGAGGAUGAAGGUCUUCGGGUUGUAAACUCCUGUCAUUUGAGAACAAGGUGCACAUGUUAACUGCAUGUGCAUUGAUAGUAUCAGAAGAGGAAGGGACGGCUAACUCUGUGCCAGCAGCCGCGGUAAUACAGAGGUCCCAAGCGUUGUUCGGAUUCAUUGGGCGUAAAGGGUGUGUAGGUGGCGCCGUAAGUCGGGUGUGAAAUCUCGGGGCUUAACUCCGAAACUGCAUUCGAUACUGCGGUGCUUGAGGACUGGAGAGGAGACUGGAAUUCAUGGUGUAGCAGUGAAAUGCGUAGAGAUCAUGAGGAAGA
rnacentral:rRNA from 1 species